GAUGAAGAACGCAGCGAAAUGCGAUAAGUAAUGUGAAUUGCAGAAUUCAGUGAAUCAUCGAAUCUUUGAACGCACAUUGCGCCCGCCAGCAUUCUGGCGGGCAUGCCUGUUCGAGCGUCAUUUCAACCCUCAAGCUCUGCUUGGUGUUGGGGCCCUACGGUUGACGUAGGCCCUUAAAGGUAGUGGCGGACCCUCUCGGAGCCUCCUUUGCGUAGUAACUAACGUCUCGCAUUGGGAUUCGGAGGGACUCUUGCCGUAAAACCCCCAAAUUUUCUAAUGGUUGACCUCGGAUCAGGUAGGAAUACCCGCUGAACUUAAGCAUAUCAUAAGCGAGGA
rnacentral:misc_RNA from 1 species